ACGAACGCUGGCGGCGUGCUUCACACAUGCAAGUCGAACGGUGAAGCGCCUUCCUUUUUGGUGGGUGUGGAUGAGUGGCGAACGGGUGAGUAACACGUGAGUAACCUGCCCCCUUCUUCUGGAUAACCGCAUGAAAGUGUGGCUAAUACGGGAUAUUCUGGGUCUGUCGCAUGAUGGGUCUGGGAAAGAUAUUGUUUCGGUGGGGGAUGGGCUCGCGGCCUAUCAGCUUGUUGGUGGGGUGAUGGCCUACCAAGGCGGUGACGGGUAGCCGGCCUGAGAGGGUGGACGGUCACACUGGGACUGAGACACGGCCCAGACUCCUACGGGAGGCAGCAGUGGGGAAUAUAGCACAAUGGGCGCAAGCCUGAUGCAGCGACGCCGCGUGAGGGAUGGAGGCCUUCGGGUUGUGAACCUCUUUCGCCAGUGAAGCAGGCCUGCCUCGUUUGUGGGUGGGUUGACGGUAGCUGGAUAAGAAGCGCCGGCUAACUACGUG
rnacentral:rRNA from 1 species